UUGGUGGAGGGCCAGGAGGCUUGUAAGGUUUUGGUGGCAGAGGUUUGUAUUUUGGUGGUAAUGGUGUCAGUGGCGACUUGUAUGGCUUCGGUGGUGAAGGUUUAUACUGUGGUCGUGGUGCCUUGUACUUUGGAGGCGACGCUGUUGGAGGCUUGUAUGGCUUCGGUGGCGGAGGUUUGUAUUUUGGUGGUGGCGGCUUGUACUUUGGAGGCGACGGUGGUGGAGGCUUGGACGUCUUCGGCGGCAAAGGUUUAUAUUUCGGUGGCGGCGGCUUGUAUUUCGUUGGCGGCAGCAGCGGAGACUUGCAUGGUUUUGGUGGUGAAGGUUUAUGUUCGGGAGAUGGUGGUGGUGGCGGCUUGUAAAUUGGAGGUAGUGGAGACUUGUAUGGCUUCGGUGGUGGAGGUUUAUAUUUCAGUGGUGGUGGCUUAUAU
rnacentral:lncRNA from 1 species